UCUCCUUCUGGUUACAACUAUAAGGACGAUGGAUGGGGCAGGGUUUGGUGAACUCUUUUGGUGGUCGGCUGAUCGCCCCGUCUGUUUACUUGAAUCUGUUUAAGGCCCCAAAGUGGUGGUGUUCGUGAUCAAGUGUUUGAAAGUACUAAUCUCAUACCCAUUAUGGGAUGGGGAAGCCUAGUACCUGAUUGAACCUGGACGUGAGCGGUUUGAUCCACUGUCUCUAGAACGGAGUUCUCCUGCGGCCGCAUGUGGUGGCAAGUGUGGUCACGGAACGGCAGAGGCCGGGUCUGUGGAACCUUGCA
rnacentral:lncRNA from 1 species